AACGAACGUUAGCGGCGCGCCUAACACAUGCAAGUCGAGCGAGAAAGGGAGCAAUCCCCGGUACAGCGGCGCACGGGUGAGUAACACGUAGGUAAUCUGCCUUCGAGUGGGGGAUAACCUUCCGAAAGGAGGGCUAAUACCGCAUAAGACCACGACCUCGCGAGGGGAUGAGGUCAAAGCCGGCCACUAUACAUAAGCUGGCGCUUGAAGAUGAGCCUGCGGCCCAUCAGCUAGUUGGUAGGGUAAUGGCCUACCAAGGCGUAGACGGGUAGCUGGUCUGAGAGGAUGAUCAGCCACACUGGAACUGAGACACGGCCCAGACUCCUACGGGAGGCAGCAGUGGGAAUAUUGCGCAAUGGGCGAAAGCCUGACGCAGCGACGCCGCGUGUGGGAUGACGGCC
rnacentral:rRNA from 1 species